AUAGGCCGCGCGAUACGCUACUUCCAGGUUUCGUCUGAAAACACCUUGGAUCAAACCGGCUACGUCGCGCAAGACUGUAUCUGCGCUUGGACACGAGCGUUGGGUUAGACGACACCGUUGGUGCCAGCUACAAGAAGUUUCGCCUUACGAGGCGGAAACCGAGGGCAACUCGUGCGGACACCGGUGCAACAGCGUCGCGGACGUAGCCCUGAGCAACUCUUCAGUGCAGGUCACUUAACCACCAGGUGACGCAUUUUCGCCAACGCAUUCGCGAUUAGCGACGUGAGCCGGCAAUCGACGGGUGUCGGGACAGCAAGUGCUCGACGUGGUUCGAAUGCGUCCACAGACGGGACACACCUGCAACGUACAGCUUUGAACCUCCGGUGCAGCGUACAGCGGAAGCAGAGGCGAACGCGGACGUAUAUGCCGUCACCGGUUAGGUCUACGGAGGUCAGGCUCCAUUGGGACUCGCGUUCGUCGUCUUCAAGAUCUGGUCCAGUCACGGUAUAUCCAAAACAACGCAAGUGAAACGAGACCUGCGUUCCGGAUAUGUAAGUCGCUCUACGGUUUAGGAGUGGAAAGAUCAGGCUCUGCCGCCAAAGCUGGUUUCUGAGCGAAAUCCCAUGAACGCAUGAACCGAACUACCAUCUCGAAACGAAAAGAUCAUGCUUUACGGACUCCAUGGCUUUCCGAGCGAAACCCAAUAGCUCCCCAUCCACACCCCGAAACGAUCAAUGUUCGCAAAGCCCCGCUCCCCUGAAUGAGCACCAUGCGUGCAACCUCGUCCCAAAAGUAGGACGGAAAUACCUAACGAAUCUGGUCCAGCUUUUCUAUCUUUCCUCCUCGUUCGCUGUGCCUAGAAAAAUGGUGUACAAACACAUCAGUGCUAUUCAAGACCCUUUCCCGGUUCGCUCUCUGUCUUGAUAACUAGUUGCUCUAUUUUCUUGAGCCGAGCUUGCCAACCCCUCGUGCCGGCUUCGUCGCGACACCGCUUACCAGUAAGGUUUCUUUUGCUCAGCAUAGACUUGCUUUUGCUGAUCCUUGGCACAUACCUCCACUUUUUCAUACUUCACACAAACGUUUUCCUCCUUAACGCAUUUCUUGCCAUAGGAUUCGCAGUUCUGCACGAAGGAGAUGCAUUUGCCCUCUGCGUGCUUUGCACAUACUUUCUUGUACUUGGCACAUACCUUGACGGUUUCGUAUGCGCUACCGUAACGCUUGCAUUUGUUGUAGUCCGUCUCUUCAGCGAUGCAGAUCUGCACUUUCUUACAGAACUGCUUCGCUUGUUGUUGUUGUUGCUGUGGCGAAGACCAACGCUGGGCCCAAUACUUGUCCUGCUGCUGUUGCUCCUCGACAUGUUGGCAGUCUUCCUUGUAGCCGUACUUGGAACACUUCUUUCCAUACUCAACGCAAACCUGCACAGGCUUCUUUUCAUACUGAUAUUCAACACACUUUUCCUCGUGCUUCACGCAAAGCAGCUCGUAUUCUGCGCAGACGUUCACGGGCUUUAGGCAGACGGCCUCGUACUUGGUGCAGUUGUAACCGUACUGGACGCACUGCGUUUCAUAAUAGCACUUCUGCUUCGCUUCAUUGGAGAGUGCCCAUUGCGGUGCAACGAUGACGAACGCAAUCGCCAAUAGCAAAAUAGAGAAACGCAAGUGUCCUGGUUUCAUCAUUGCAGCGUACGCUGAUGCGGUGGUUUUCAAGCGCUUUCGUCUGAAAAACACCAAUUUUUCCUCGAAAUAAA